UUGGAAGGAAGUUGAAGUUAGCUGGACAAGUAGCAAAAGCUUGAUUCCAUUUUGAGUAGAUUACUUUUACCCAAGGUUGGGUUUAUUAUUUUAACCCAGCAGAUUGGGUCAGGUCCUCCCUGACUGACCCACUUUUGGGUUAGCUAUUUCACCCAAUUUGGGUUACUUUUAAGCAGCCAUUUUAAGAGUGAAAAUUUGAUUUUUAAUGAGAUGGUGAUCUGGGAAUGUACUUUUCGCUCUAACAAAGUGUCACUUCACUUUACAGGAACAAUAAAAGGAUCCCCCAGCCCCCCAAAUCCCCGUGUCAUCUGCCCGGCCUGAGAAAGAAUUUCAUGAGGUCUGCGAGGUCCUGUUCCCUCCAUUGUUGAGUUGGCGGGAUGGCACGACCCCCUCCGCUCCAUAAAAUGGCAGGCAAGCCUUUACACAGCACAGGCCACACAGAGACUUCAGAAGGGUUCGCUUGAUUCCAACAAACGAGGAGCUAAUUGAAGAAGAAAGCUCUCGCCACCUGCAAACGGGUCACCUGAUCGACCAUCGAUCAUCCCCUCACCCCCCUGACCCGCACAAUAGAACCCUCCCAAGCCGGCUCCUGUUACGCCGACCGCCUUGGGACAGAAAGCGCAUGAAAGUGUUCUUUUGUGCACCGGCUUGAUCUCAGGUAAAGGCACUUACACGCCUCUUUGGUCACAAACACACAAAGGCACUGGGGGGGGGAAACAUAAACAACUCAGUGGGUUUCAGUGCAAAUGGACAUUUUUCAUAAUGUUUUUUUUUUUUUUACUUUUUAAAGAAAAUAAGCACUUGUGGUUGCUAUUUCCCUUUUUCUAAACUGUGUCAAGUAACUUCAACUGUAAAUUCAUCUGAACUACUUAAGUGAGCUUAACACCACAACAAAGACUUAUUUUGGUUUUUUACAUCCACUAACUAGUCCGAACACUAAAACAGGAAACAGUUAUGUACUGAGCUACAACAGAAUGCUCCCACCGAAUCCUCAUUUUAUAUUUUUUACAUUUCUGAGCAGCCAUGUCUGACCCCCUCUUUUAAAUUUUUUUCUCCGUCUUUGAAAAUUCCUAAACAGAUUUUUAUCUCCAGCGACUCACUCAUGCACAAAGUAGUCCCACAAUGAGAUCAUGGCAUGGUUGAAGCCUGUGAUGUGUUUAAGUGUGAUGCAUCGAUGAGGAAAUGCGACUCAACAAGAGAUGCCAUUCACACAUUUCACACAAGAGUCAUUUGCCGCAA